rnacentral:rRNA from 1 species
UACGUAGGCAGCAAGCGUUGUUCGGAAUUACUGGGCGUAAAGAGUGUGUAGGCGGUGCUCUAAGUUUGGUGUGAAAUCUCCCGGCUCAACUGGGAGGGUGCGCCGAAAAACUGGAAUGCUUUGAACAUGGGGAGAGGAAAAGCGGAAUUCCUGGGUGUAGCGGUGAAAAUGCGUAGAUAUCAGGAGGAACACCGGUGGCGAAGGCGGGUCUCUGGGCGCAUACUGACGCUGAGGAGCGAAAGCGUGGGGAGCAAACAGG